GGGGAGAGGGAUGCCCGUCGUUCCGGCCUGGUGGUGAAUGCUAAGGAGAGUCACGGUUGCUGCAGUUUGUGCCGCUGGGAAGUUCUGGCGUGAGGCCGGGCGGGAGCUCGCGGCGCUGUGGAGAAUCGAAGCGUGGGGUCCGUGCGAAGACUCUGCUGCCGCCAGACACUUUCCUACUCUGACCAUGCCUGGAAGGAACAAGGCGAAGUCUACCUGCAGCUGUCCUGACUUGCAGCCCAAUGGACAGGAUUUGAGCGAAAGCGGCCGGGUUGCCCGCCUCGGAGCCGAUGAGUCUGAGGAGGAGGGACGGAGGGGGCCUGUCAGUAAUGCCGGAGACCCUGAGAUCGUCAAGUCCCCCAGCGACCCCAAGCAAUACCGAUACAUCAAAUUACAGAAUGGCUUGCAGGCACUUUUGAUUUCAGACCUAAGUAAUAUGGAAGGUAAAACAGGAGAUGCAACAGAUGAUGAAGAGGAAGAAGAAGAAGGAGAAGAGGAAGAUGAUGAUGAUGAAGAUGAAGAUUCUGGAGCUGAAAUAGAAGAUGAUGACGAAGAGGGUUUUGAUGAUGAAGAUGAGUUUGAUGAUGACGACGAACACGAUGAUGAUGAUCUUGAUACUGAGGAUAAUGAGUUGGAAGAAUUAGAAGAGAGAGUAGAAGCUAGAAAGAAAACCACUGAAAAACAGCAAUUGCAGAGCCUGUUUUUGCUGUGGUCAAAGCUGACUGAUAUACUGUGGUUUAAGUCAACUUUUACAAAAAUGUCUUCAACCCAGCUGUUCGAGACAAGAAAACUUAAUGGGGUAGUUGGAGCUGAAAGCAGGUCUGCACCUGUUCAGCAUAUGGCAGGAUGGCAAGAGGAGGAGCAGCAGGGUGAAACUGACACAGUUCUGUCUGCAGCGGCUCUUUGUGUUGGAGUUGGGAGUUUUGCUGAUCCAGAUGACCUGCCCGGGCUGGCACACUUUUUGGAGCACAUGGUAUUCAUGGGUAGUUUGAAAUAUCCAGAUGAGAAUGGAUUUGAUGCCUUCCUGAAGAAACAUGGGGGUAGUGACAAUGCCUCAACUGAUUGUGAACGUACAGUCUUUCAGUUUGAUGUCCAGAGAAAAUACUUCAAGGAAGCCCUGGAUAGGUGGGCCCAAUUCUUCAUCCAUCCACUAAUGAUCAGAGAUGCAAUUGACCGUGAAGUUGAAGCUGUUGAUAGUGAAUAUCAACUUGCGAGACCUUCUGAUGCAAACAGAAAAGAAAUGUUGUUUGGAAGCCUUGCUAGACCUGGACAUCCUAUGGGGAAAUUUUUUUGGGGAAAUGCUGAGACUCUCAAACAUGAGCCAAAACGGAAUAAUAUUGAUACACAUGCUAGACUGAGAGAAUUCUGGAUGUGUUACUACUCUGCUCAUUAUAUGACUUUAGUGGUUCAGUCGAAAGAAACCCUGGAUACUUUGGAAAAGUGGGUGACCGAAAUCUUCUCUCAGAUACCAAACAAUGGGUUGCCGAAACCAAACUUUGGCCAUUUAACGGAUCCAUUUGACACACCAGCAUUUAAUAAACUUUAUAGAGUGGUUCCAAUCAGAAAAAUUCAUGCUUUGACCAUCACAUGGGCACUUCCCCCUCAACAACAACAUUACAGGGUGAAGCCACUUCACUAUAUCUCCUGGCUGGUCGGACAUGAAGGCAAAGGCAGCAUUCUUUCUUACCUUAGAAAAAAGUGCUGGGCUCUUGCACUGUUUGGUGGAAAUGGUGAGACAGGAUUUGAGCAAAAUUCUACCUAUUCAGUGUUCAGCAUUUCUAUAACCUUGACUGAUGAAGGUUUUGAACACUUCUAUGAGGUUGCUCAUACUGUCUUUCAGUAUUUAAAAAUGCUGCAGAAGCUAGGCCCAGAAAAAAGAAUUUUUGAAGAGAUUCAGAAAAUUGAAGAUAAUGAGUUUCAUUACCAAGAACAGACGGAUCCAGUUGAGUAUGUGGAAAACAUGUGUGAAAACAUGCAGCUGUACCCACUGCAGGACUUUCUUACUGGAGAUCAACUUCUUUUUGAAUACAAUCCAGAAGUCAUUGGGGAAGCCCUUAAUCAGCUAGUUCCGCAAAAAGCAAAUCUCGUUCUUCUUUCUGGUGCUAAUGAGGGAAAAUGCGAACUCAAGGAGAAGUGGUUUGGGACUCAGUAUAAUAUGCAAGAUAUUGAAAAUUCUUGGGCUGAACUAUGGAAUAGUAAUUUCGAAUUAAAUCCAGAUCUUCAUCUUCCAGCUGAAAACAAGUACAUAGCCACGGACUUCACGUUGAAGGCUUUUGAUUGCCCUGAGACGGAAUACCCUGUUAAAAUUGUGAACACUCCACAAGGUUGCCUGUGGUAUAAGAAAGACAAUAAAUUCAAAAUCCCCAAAGCAUAUAUACGUUUUCAUCUGAUCUCACCUUUGAUACAGAAGUCUGCAGCAAAUGUGGUCCUCUUUGAUAUCUUUGUCAACAUCCUUACCCAUAACCUUGCGGAACCAGCUUAUGAAGCAGAUGUGGCACAGCUGGAGUAUAAACUAGUAGCUGGAGAACAUGGUUUAAUUAUUCGAGUGAAAGGAUUCAACCACAAACUACCUCUACUGUUUCAGCUCAUUAUUGACUACUUAGCUGACUUCAGUUCCACACCAGCUGUCUUUACAAUGAUAACUGAGCAGUUGAAGAAGACUUACUUUAACAUCCUCAUCAAGCCUGAGACUCUGGCCAAAGAUGUGCGGCUUUUAAUCCUGGAAUAUGCUCGUUGGUCUAUGAUUGACAAGUACCGGGCUUUGAUGGAUGGCCUUUCCCUUGAGUCUUUGCUGAGCUUCGUCAAAGAGUUCAAAUCCCAGUUCUUUGUUGAGGGCCUGGUACAAGGGAAUGUCACAAGCACAGAGUCUAUGGAUUUCCUGAAAUACGUUGUUGACAAGCUGAACUUCAUCCCUCUGGAACAGGAGAUGCCUGUGCAGUUCCAGGUGGUAGAGCUGCCCAGUGGCCACCACCUAUGCAAAGUGAGAGCCCUGAACAAGGGUGAUGCCAACUCUGAAGUCACUGUGUACUACCAGUGAGCUAUUGCUUCAUUAAUCACCUGACCACUAGUCAGAGGAACAGAGACUGAAGUGUGGAUGGAAAUUCUUAGGUAUCACUCCUGACAAAACCCCAAACAGCAGGAGGACAUUUUUUAAGAAGAGACAAAAGUAUCCAUAGCCAAGCCCUCACUGUAUAGCAAACAGAAUGACAACAAAUGAGCUGUCAUAAUUAAAGGUUUCAAAGCACCCAGAAGAUAGGAUUCAUCACUUCUGUUUUAUAGAUGAUGAAUCUGAGGUUCAGUUCCUUACUUACCUGAGAUCAUACCACGAGGGACUCAAAUUUAUUCCUUCUGUCCUUAGAUCCUGUGUUCUUUCCACACCAUUCUGAAAGGGUGGGGUGGGAUGUAAGAUAAAGAGUUUUGCAGUUUGGCCCGUACCCUGCUUUAGGCAUAGUUAGUCCCACCCACUUCUAGAAAUAUGGGGAUCUUCCCUAAACCUGUGUCUCUCCAGCUUGAUCUCAGACUUCUCAAACUCAGGGGCUCCUAUAACUGCUGCUACAGUCCUGGGUUCCCUGUAUAAGGAAGUCACUUUCCUGUCAGGCCCUGUGAAGAUCCCUGGCCUGGGCUUUGGGCAGAGCUGCAUGGCCUGUCUCCUUCAUUGUUCCUUUAUUGUGUUUCUGACCCUGGGCCUGAGUCUUACCCUGACUUUGUCUAGGUCUGGUUGUCAGAAGCAAAUUCUGCCUGAUGUCGUGGCCACUUCUUGUUAGUGAAGCUCAGCCUUGUCCCAGUCUUAAUGAGUCCUUUGAUUCAAGAGUCACAGCGAUUCUGGAGCUCAGUUGAUAAGAUUUUUGUCUUUGCCUGGAGGCCCAGCUUUGGCCCUGCGUGACUUUGUCCACAUUUCUAGUGCCUCUGACUACUCAAAAUCCAAGCAGGGGUACUUCUCCAGACUUUUAGGCAGGGCUUCAUAUUGCGAGAAAAUGUCUGUGGAGGUGCUUUCCAUUGAUAACCUCUUAGCAGUAGCGUCUAAUACAAACUGUUUCCUUUAGGGAACUACUUCCCUCCUCACAGAGAGCGUUUUGAACAGUAAACUGUUAUUGUUACAGGGUUUUGACUGAUUUUGUUACAGCCCUUUUAGAGGCAAAGAGGAAAUCUCUGUGCUGACUAAUUAGGGCUUGCAGGGCACGUGGGCUCUGGUGAAGUGGGAAUGAGUCUGUCAGAGGAGCCUGCAAGAACCUGAUGCCGGGAUGCACUAGCAACAUCUUUGCUUAUUGACUUCCUGCCCUCCUUAAUUCUGACUUCAUUAUUUUGCCAGAGCAGCCAGGAGGAUAUGGUCCGCAAGUGUGUUUUCUGUCUCUUAGGCACUUUCGUUAUCACUUGGUUUGGGUCCUUGUGUGUGGCUGCAGAAAUUCUAUUCAUAUUCUCUCUACCUGAGGGAUGAAUCCAGAUACCCUUCAUGAUCUUCAGAUAUUUCCUGUUCUCCCCCUUUAGGACCUUGAACUUUUUUAAAGUGCUUGAUUUUAGAACACAUGCUGUGGGUCCUCUGGGCAGGAGCUUGCAGAUCAGGGAUUAUUGGACUAACCUCCAUGUCUACCUGCAGUUCUGUGCUAGUGCUGGGAAUACAAAUGAUCAAGCAUGAUCCCUGUCCUCACAGAUCUUCAGACUAGUGAGGAGGCAGAUAUGGACACACAAUUGUUGAAAUUAUGGCAAUAGAGGGUAUGAUUAACUCUUGUGGGGGAAUGAGUGGUUGGCAGAGGUAGCUGGAUUAUUAAAAAACCUCAUAAGCCACUGGGUUUUCAGGUGAUCUGACCAACUUCUCCUUUCAGUCAGGUCCCAGGAGUCUGAGAGAAUACACCCUUAUGGAGCUGCUUGUGGUAAGUGGGUAAAGGAGAGUUGAACUGUAUGAGGCCUAGCCUUUCUUUCUGGGAAUUAGGGACUUGGGGUAGUCAGACACCUGUGAUUGGAAGGAGAGAGGGUCCACUGUUUAAGUGAGAUGGUCAUUUAGUAUUCUUAAACAGUGUAAGCGUGGACAGGGAACCUGGGCCAUCUAGGAAAAAGGCAGUAAAGGAGGCUGGACUUCAGAGGUAUGUGGAGUACUUUAGGGGGAAGAAAUGGAGGUUUUUCUGCUGGGAGGAGUUGGGCUGAUGGAUAGUAUGUUGAAUUACAGAUGCACAUGGAAGAGCCUUGUUUUGACUUCCUUCGAACCAAGCAGACCCUUGGGUACCAUGUCUACCCUACCUGUAGAAACACAUCUGGGAUUCUAGGGUUCUCUGUCACCGUGGGGACUCAGGCAACCAAAUACAA